rnacentral:rRNA from 1 species
UACGUAGGGGGCAAGCGUUGUCCGGAUUCAUUGGGCGUAAAGAGCGUGUAGGCGGCCAGGUAGGUCGGUUGUGAAAACUGCAGGCUCAACCUUCAGAGGUCGACCGAAACCAUCUGGCUAGAGUCCGGGAGAGGAGAGUGGAAUUCCUGGUGUAGCGGUGAAAUGCGCAGAUAUCAGGAAGAACACCCGUGGCGAAAGCGGCUCUCUGGAACGGUACUGACGCUGAGACGCGAAAGCGUGGGGAGCGAACAGG